rnacentral:rRNA from 1 species
CAGCAGCCACGGAAUACGGAGGGUGCGAGCGUUAAUCGGAAUUACUGGGCGUAAAGCGUACGCAGGCGGUUUGUUAAGUCAGAUGUGAAAUCCCCGAGCUUAACUCGGGAACUGCAUUUGAAACUGGCAGGCUAGAGUCUCGUAGAGGGGGGUAGAAUUCCAGGUGUAGCGGUGAAAUGCGUAGAGAUCUGGAGGAAUACCGGUGGCGAAGGCGGCCCCCUGGACGAAGACUGACGCUCAGGUACGAAAGCGUGGGGAGCAAACAGGAUUAGAGACCCGCGUAGUCCCUGUCUCUUAUACA